AUUGAACGCUGGCGGCAUGCCUUACACAUGCAAGUCGAACGGCAGCGCGGGGCAACCUGGCGGCGAGUGGCGAACGGGUGAGUAACAUAUCGGAACAUACCCUAGAGUGGGGGAUAACGUAGCGAAAGUUACGCUAAUACCGCAUACGCACUAAGGUGGAAAGUGGGGGAUCUUCGGACCUCAUGCUCAUGGAGUGGCCGAUAUCUGAUUAGCUAGUUGGUGAGGUAAAGGCUCACCAAGGCGACGAUCAGUAGCUGGUUUGAGAGAACGACCAGCCACACUGGAACUGAGACACGGUCCAGACUCCUACGGGAGGCAGCAGUGGGGAAUUUUGGACAAUGGGGGGCAACCCUGAUCCAGCAAUGCCGCGUGAGUGAAGAAGGCCUCGG
rnacentral:rRNA from 1 species